GACGAACCGUGCGAACGUUAUUCGGAAUCACUGGGCUUAAAGCGCGUGUAGGCGGAUGGGAACGUCGGCUUCUGAAAGCCCCCGGCUCAACCGGGGAAGUGGGCCGAAACGACCCGUCUCGAGGGACGUAGGGGAUCUGGAACUUCCGGUGGAGCGGUGAAAUGCGUUGAGAUCGGAAGGAACGCCCGUGGCGAAAGCGAGAUCCUGGACGUUUCUGACGCUGAGACGCGAAAGCUAGGGAGCAACGGG
rnacentral:rRNA from 1 species